UUGAAAGGGAAACGAUUGAAGUCAGUCGUACCGACGAGAAAUCAGCUUAUCGUGUGUGAACUUGUGGGCGUGCGUGAGUUUCGGCCUCGCUGUUUGCAUGUUUGUGCGCUUUGGGUGUACUUUUUCGUAUGGUUGGCCAACGUCAGUUUCGAUUACUAUAAAAUGACCGGCGGAAUGUAGCUUCGAUUUCGGUUGAAGUGUUAUAGCCUCUGGUAGAUGUGGUGAUUGGGACUGAGGAUUGCAACGAAUAUCCUUUUGGGCUAUCCGUCUGGCCUCUGAAA
rnacentral:rRNA from 1 species